rnacentral:rRNA from 1 species
GACGAACCGUGCGAACGUUAUUCGGAAUCACUGGGCUUAAAGCGCGUGUAGGCGGAAGGGCACGUCUGGUGCUAAAAUCCCCCGGCUCAACCGGGGAACGGGCGCGGAUACGACUCUUCUGGAGGAACGUAGGGGGACCUGGAACUUCCGGUGGAGCGGUGAAAUGCGUUGAGAUCGGAAGGAACGCCCGUGGCGAAAGCGAGGUCCUGGACGUUUACUGACGCUGAGACGCGAAAGCCAGGGGAGCGAACGGG